UCGAUCGACACCUGCAGCUGCC
rnacentral:siRNA from 1 species